GCUCCCUCCUGUGUGGCCUGCCCUCGGGUCAGGAAGCCAGGCUCUCGUGGAUGAUGGCGCGCGCAGCGCAUCCCUGCCUCCGCGGGUCGCGGAUGUGACGCGUGGCACCCCGGCCAAGAGAGCGUUUGAAUCGGUUCCCGGGUUGCUUCCAGGCGGCAGCCGAGGAGGUGCUGCGCGGCCGGCCUAGACCCCUAGUCACGGCAGCUGGAGCCGAGGGCACGCGCGGAGUGGGCGUCGCCGCGAAGUGCUCCCUAGGGAGGGCCGUGGGGUGCUCACCGCAAUAUGGCAGUGACUGGCGCCAGCGAUCCCGGAGGCCUCUCGGCGGGGUCUGGGAGGGAAGGAGGCGUCGACGGCUGCAGGACCGUGUACUUGUUUGACUGCGCGGGAAGGAGUCGGAGCUCGGGGAGCGCGCACCGCAGGUCUCCAACCGCGCAGGCUAUGCGGGUUCCGCGCUGCUGCUUGUCAGGUUAACUGGACUCCUGAGGUUAACAGAGAACAUUUGCUACAAGGUUUGCUUCCUGGUGUGCAAGUACCAACAUCUGUGAAAGUUGUGAGCUACUGCCAGGUUUCUUUCCAAGAUGACCAUGUGUCUCUGGAAAGUGCCUUUACAAUCAGCUGGUGGAGGGAGCAGAGGAGAUGACAGGAAGCUUGACUGGUUGGGUACACAGUCCUACAUAGCACCUGGAGGAGUCGGGAAAAGCCUGGGAUCCAACACAUUCCUUCACAGGCCAACACACAGAGUAUAACUGUACGAGGCAUCAGAUUCAUCCCAGGUCCUCCUGGACAUAAGGAUCUUUGUUUUACUUGGCGAGAGUUUUCUGACUUUAUUCGUGUGCACCUCAUUUCUGGACCUCCAACCAAGCUGCAUCUUAUUGACUGGCCAGAGCUAAAAGAGAGAAUCCGUCUUUGCCACACCUGUGUAAGUUCCUGAUGGUGUGCCACACGGUCCAGGUGCUAUCAUUGCAAAAGACC